rfam:Cricetulus griseus cell line CHO-K1, whole genome shotgun sequence.
GUAGGAUGGCUCAGUGGUUAAGAGCACUGGAUGUUCUUCCAGAGGACCCAGGUUCAAUUCCCAGCACCUACA